rnacentral:rRNA from 1 species
GACAGAGGCCCCAAGCGUUAGGCGGAAUCACUGGGCUUAAAGCGUGUGUAGGCGGAUCGUUAAGUGUCUUGUGAAAUCCCACGGCUCACCCGUGGAACUGCUGGGCAUACUGGCGAUCUUGGGCCAACUAGGGGCAGCCGGAACAAGCGGUGGAGCGGUGAAAUGCGUAGAUAUCGCUUGGAACGCCGAAGGUGAAAACAGGCUGCUGGGGUUGCGCCGACGCUGAGACACGAAAGCCAGGGGAUCAAACGGG